rnacentral:rRNA from 1 species
GAUGAACGCUGGCGGCGUGCUUAACACAUGCAAGUCGAACGGGAAAUCUUUCAUUGAGACUUCGGGGGAGUGGCUUGGUUUCUAAUGGAGCCCGGGUGAGUAACGCGUGGGUAAACUGACUUCUUCACGGGGAUAAAAGUCAGAAAUGGCUGCUAAUACCGCAUAAGCGCACAGCGCUGCACUGCGCAGUGUGAAAAACUCCGGUCGUAUAAGAUGGACCCGCGUUGGAUUAGCUCGUUGGUGGGGUAACGGCCCACGAAGGCGACGAUCCAUAUCCGGCAUGCGAGCGUGAACGACCACAUUGGUACUGAGACACGGCCCAGACUCCUACGGGAGGCAGCAGUGGGGAAUAUUGCACAAUGGGGGAAACCCUGAUGCAGCGACGCCGCGUGAAGGAAGAAGUAUCUCGGUAUGUAAACUGCUAUCAGCAGGGAAGAUAGUGACGGUACCUGACUAAGAAGCCCCGGCUAACUACGU